GACGAACGCUGGCGGCGUGCUUAACACAUGCAAGUCGAACGGAAAGGCCCUGCUUGCCGGGUACUCGAGUGGCGAACGGGUGAGUAACACGUGGGUGAUCUGCCCUGCACUUCGGGAUAAGCCUGGGCAAAUGGGUCUAAUACCGGAUAGGAGCCAUUUUUAGUGUGAUGGUUGGAAAGUUUUUUCGGUGUAGGAUGAGCUCGCGGCCUAUCAGCGUGUUGGUGGGGUAAUGGCCUACCAAGGCGGCGACGGGUAGCCGGCCUGAGAGGGUGGACGGCCACCUUGGGACUGAGAUACGGCCCAGACUCCUACGGGAGGCAGCAGUGGGGAAUAUUGCACAAGGGGCGCCAGCCUGAUGCAGCGACGCCGCGUGGGGGAUGACGGCCUUCUGGUUGUAAACUCCUUUCGCUAGGGACGAAGCUUUUUGUGACGGUACCUAGAUAAGAAGCACCGGCUAACUACGUG
rnacentral:rRNA from 1 species